rnacentral:misc_RNA from 1 species
AAGUGAACCACUUGGAGUCGCUGGACUACCCAAAGAAAUUGUUAAAGUUUCAGCUGGUUGUCAUCAUUCUUCUGCUAUUACAGUGGAUGGAGAACUUUAUAUGUGGGGGAAGAACACAUAUGGUCAGCUUGGCCUUGGAAAGAAAGCUGAUACGGUACUGUCUAUACCCAAUAAAGUUGAAUGCUUGAAUGGAGUCACAAUCAAAAUCAUUUCCCUAGGUUUCGAACACUCAAUUGCUGUAACAGAUAAAGGUGAGACUUUGAGUUGGGGUGGGGGACAAUCAGGAAGACUUGGUCAUGGACAUCAAUCAGGCAUUUUUGGACUCAUAAAAAGUGACAGUGAAUACACACCACGACUUAUUAAGGAACUUGAGGGGUUGAAGGUUAAGAAUGCUUCUGCUGGAAUGUUGCAUUCUGUCUGCAUUAGCGAGAAUGGAUCUGUACAUAUUUUUGGUGAAAGAGCAAAUAAGAAAUUGGGCUUUAG